rnacentral:rRNA from 1 species
UACGUAGGGUGCAAGCGUUGUCCGGAAUUAUUGGGCGUAAAGAGCUCGUAGGCGGUCUGUCGCGUCGGCUGUGAAAACCCGGGGCUCAACCCCGGGCCUGCAGUCGAUACGGGCAGACUAGAGUGCGGUAGGGGAGACUGGAAUUCCUGGUGUAGCGGUGAAAUGCGCAGAUAUCAGGAGGAACACCGGUGGCGAAGGCGGGUCUCUGGGCCGUAACUGACGCUGAGGAGCGAAAGCGUGGGGAGCAAAUGGG